rnacentral:lncRNA from 1 species
AUUGAGAAAGGUCAGUUAUACCCAGAAUAUUUUGGGGGGGGAUUCAAAAUCCAUGUUAAUCCUCUCUCACUCUCUGACCUCUCAGUUCCACAUCAGACCCUCCUUAGUGAAGCCAGCAAAGCCUUGGCAAAGCCUUCGCCACUACCCACAACCUCUCCACACUGGAGAAUCUUAAACUUUAAAAGUUUCCCCUGGCCACUUGCUGUCUUUCCAUCUCUACCUGUUACUCCUUCUGACCCAGUCUUCACACUCUUAAAUCCAGACCUUUUGCUCACUUUCCCCAUCCACCAAGCUGCCAGGCCACCAAGGACAUCACAAUGCCCCUCCCAACUCUCCAGAACAAUCUUCCCACUGUGUUCACACCUGCAUCCUGAUGGCUCAAGCCACUGUCCUUCUGUCUUCCGUGCUCUGCCCAUUUCCGGCCCCGGCCCCAGUAAGGCAGAUUCCAUGGAUUUUGGAUGUGCACAGCCACUGCAUCGUGACCUUAGAGUGGCCUGGUGGCUGGAACAUCAGACUUCUGCUUGCUCUUCGAGCCUAGCACUUGCGAAUAUCUCCAGCAAUGGAAGCUUGUUCGAUCAUGGAAACCUCAGAGGAUGUGAAGAAAGCUACGCAUCUAUCAGUAUCGAGAGAGAGAGAGAGAGAGAGAGAGAGAGAGAGAGAGAGAGAGAGAAAUCCCUCCCUAAACAAGUCCACGAUUUGGGCAGGGUAAAUUUCAUCUGCAGUGCCAGAGAGCAAGGUCAGAGUUCCUAAAUUGUUUUAGUCAAAGAAGGCAAGGAGACACAAAGGGGGUCCAAGGUACGCUCUGGGCAGUAUUUCUGCUCCUUCUGCCCCAGCCUAACAUCAUUCUACUUUGACUGUAACACGCAGGCUCAUCUCUAGAAAAUGAGACAAUGGCCAUUGUCAUUUCCCUUCCCUCAGCCACUGUGAUGACUUGCAAAUACUAACAAGUUACACUGGGGAAGAAUUCUAGCCUCAUAAACGAGAAACAGAGAAAUGACUCAAAGAAUAGUAUAUAUAUUUAUCGCAUUUAAUAGUUCUGUCAUAUUUUCUUCAACAUGGGCAUAGAUGUUUCCAUUCUAAUAAUUCAACCCAACUUUAUCUGAGCACUCCUCACAAAAAAAAAAAAAAUAGAAAAAUAAGUAAGAUUCUAUCUGUGUCCCGUGGUUGGUAAAUUCAGUUGCUUUCGAUUUUACUUGAGUACCUCCAGAGGGACUCAGCUGGAUCAUAUGCAUUAACAUUUAUAUCACCGUUGGAUCCUGUGUUGGUUUAGAUCUAGAUGUCCCCACAAAGCCUCUUGUGGUCAUAGGUGGUUGGGAAGAUGAUUGGAUUACGGGAGUUCAUAGCUCACUUGCUGUUAGGAGGUGGGGUCUGCAUGGAAGAGGUGGGUCACUGUGGGUGUGACCUGGAAGGUUUUUUCUCCACCUCCCUGAUUCCUCCCUUGAAAUUCUGAUUCCCACCAUAAUGAAGUGAGCAAUCUUUUCUCUGCUAUGCCUCUCUGCCAUGUUGUCCUGCCUUGGAGCUAGCCAACUAUGAACUAUAAUCAUGAGCCAAGAUAAACCUCUCCCCUGCUGGGGGUGUCAGGUAUUGUAUGCCAGUGACAAGAAAGUGACCAAGACAGGUCUUUACUUAUUCUCCCAUAUACAGUCCACAGAUACAUCAGAAAGAAAUUCGAUUCUUAGCAUCUGACAGUUUUAAUCUAGUUAAGAUUUCUGAGUACAAGUCAUAUCCAACAAGGAGAAAGAUGUUCAUUCAUCCUUUCUGCUCAUUUAUAAAUAGGCAAAAUGGUAGAGGGAGGCUAUAGGAAGAGCUAUGUAUGGACACUUAGAGACCUACUGUCAUCAAUAGGAAGAACGCAGUCAUUUCUUUUUUAAAAUUUAUUUAUUUAUUUAUUUAUUUAUUUAUUUAUUUAUUUAUUUGAGAUAGGAUCUUGCUAUGUAGUGCAGGCUGGCCUUGAACUCACAGUGAUCCUCCUGCCUUAGCCUCCCAGAGCUAGGAUUACAGGCAAGUGCCACCAUGCCCAGCUAAACUCAGUCAUUGCUAAAGUCCCUCUCCUGUGCUUUGAUAGCUCACCCAGGAGCUGGGAUUUGAAACUUUUUCAAACUAUUAAGGAUUGAAAUUGAGACGGGAUGUUUACUUUCAGCCUCAGUCUCUGUAUUAGUCAGCUAUCUGUCACUGUGAUAAUAUGCUUGAGACAAACAACUUAAAUGAGGAAAGGUUUAUCCUGGUGCACAAUUUCAGAGGUCUAAAUCCAUGUUCAUUUGGCCCUGUUACUUCAUCCUGUGACAUGGUGGGAAGCACAUGGCCAAGGAGGUAUGCUUACCUCAUGGUGGUAGGAAAGCAAAGGAAGAGAAAGGAGAGGGCUGGCAUCUCAAUAUUCCUCUCAAGGGCAUGCUCCCCAGUGUCCUAACUUCCUCCCACUAGGCCCCACCCACUAAUGGCUUUACCACCUCCCAGUAGUGCUAAACUGAAGACUAAACCAUAAACAUAUGGGCCUUUAGGAGACACUACUGUUGCAAACUAUAGUGGUCUCUGUUGGAGUUUGAACCAUUCAACUAGUGACAGUUUCCAAUUUCACACCCUCCCAACAUUUCUCUAGUAUGCUCCAAAUCUCCAUGAGGGGUUACAGACCUAUUUUAGCUGGUUCCAGUUUCCUCUGAGUCACAUCAAACUGAGAUUGCAACAUCAGAAGAAGUUCAACCAAUUAUUAUGUAUAAACAUCAGCCCAUUUGUAUAAUGCAAUCUUCUGGUAGUAAGGACAUGAAAGAUGUCAACAAGGAGGAUCCCAAGCCUGUCAUUAUUCCAGGACAUUUGGGACUACAAGAUCACCAGGGUCACAGAAGAUAAUUAUCCAUAUCAUGCUGGGAACACACACACAAGCUGAGUACCGUGUGGAUCAUGCUACAAAUCUCAAGACAAGCAGUAAAUGUCCAGGGCCUGGGAUCCUUCAUCCUGACCACGCGAUAGCACAGCCCAUGUGAAGAAAAGACUGGCUAGUUUUCCAGCAUAAUAUGGUGUUUUAUUUCACCAUAGUUAGACUGCUGGGAAAUCUCUGGAGGCCCUGGCAGCUGUGUCUUGUCUUUAGUAUGAAGCCUGGGGGUGGGACAGGGAACUCAUAAUUCACAAGAGGCACAGCCCUAAGAGAGCCAUUCUGAAUAUCUGAAUCAGAUGCUGAGGGGGAGCAGCUAUUCCAUUCCUAAGUGAGGAAUGCUUUUUGCCUUUCCUUCUCUCCUUAUCGGCUGUGUCCUCAUGAAAAGAUCAUUUAUGGAUGGUGGAAUGACUGCAUCCCAGCCAGCUUCUGUUUCUCUCUUUUCUCCCUCAAUGGCUGCUGUCCUAUAAAAAGACCCUUUGUGAGAGACUGAAACAGCAGAUGCUGCUCAGAUAAUAUCUGAAAUAAUUUUCAAGGAGGGAGUAUUUUAUCCUGAAUGGAUGUAACACUAUUUUUGUGGUGAAAGUGGUUCUACUGCUGUUCCAAAUUGUCCAGAAACUUGAGAGACUCUUAUGGAAAAGAAGUAUUUUAUCCAAUAUCUUUACCACCAGGGUAUGGGGGGAACUGGUAAUGCCAGUGGGGUUAAAUGGACACUGUUGUAGUCAGGGUUUACAAGGGAAUAAAUUUAAUAUAGGACACAUAACUUAUAGGAUUACUUUAUAAUAAAAAAUGCAGAAGAGUACAGAUCUGUCCACAUACUAGAGACACCAAGAAUCCAGGUGAGGGCCUGGAUCCCACAGCAAUGUCCUGCAUGAGUCCAGCUAGAGGCCUAGAGACCACAACAAUGUCUCCUGCAAGUCUGUAUUAAGGAUCUAUGCUGGGAAGACCCAAAGGCCAAUAAUAGAAGCUAGAAAGUCUGCGUUAGCAGGAUGAAGGAUCUGUGCCAGCAGGCAGAGGGAUCUGCACUGGAGCCAGAAAGCAAUGAUCACGGUAAAGACUAGAGCUCCCCUGAAGAGAACUACAGCCAUGCUCAGUGACAUCAAGGACCUGAGCUCCUCCAAUGAUGAGGACAGCUGAGGUCAAAUCAGGAAAGCCAGUGUGGCAAGCUUCUCCAGAGAAUCAACAGCACCAGCCUCUUCCCCUCCGGUUCUGCUUUUCUGCUUUGGCAACAGUCCUCAAGUGGGCCUUCCACGCCUAAAACCGCACUGGUUCCCUUCAGCUGGGUGUUACAAGCUGACCAUUAGUUAACCCACCAUAGACACCAAGUGGCAUCAUAGGCAGAGUGGGUCCAGGGAACCUAAGGGAAGGGCAGAGGUAGCUGGAAGUUCUGGGGAAGGUGCGAGUCACAGUAGGAAUGGGCUUUGUGCAUGCAAAAGUGAGUCUUACUUACUGGGCAUAUAGAGUUUGAUUAAAUUUAUGAAAAGAAUUACUAAAGUAAAAGGCACUUUGCCACAAAGGCCCCGCAAAAUCCUCCUUCUUGCCCCCAACACACUUGUCCUGUCAUUCUUGCCACUUUCUGAAGCAGUUCCGGAAGUCCUCUUUCCUGAGUGACUUGAGCUGAACUAUAUUUGCUGUCUCAGUGUCCUGCAUCCAUUCAAAACAUUGACAUUUCGUGGUGAUUUUGACUUUGGAGAAGAACCAGAAGUCAUGCAGUGCAGAUCCAAUGAAUACAGUAGGUGAGGACACACCAUGAUGUAUUUAUUAGAUAGAGAUGGCUAUAAACAUUUGAUCAAUGAGGGGUGAUCAAAACAUAUUGUGAAGCCAGGCAUGGUAGCUUAUGCCUGUAAUCUCAGCACUAGGGAGGCUGAGGCAGGAAGAUUGCCAUGAGUUCAAGACCAACCUAGGCUAUAUAACGAGUUCAAGGCUAGCUCGAACUACAUAGUGAG